rnacentral:rRNA from 1 species
GCGAAAACUUUACAAUGCUGGCAACAGCGAUAAGGGAACCUCGAGUGCCAGGUUACAAAUCUGGCUGUCGAGAUGCCUAAAAAUCAUUUCAUAGCAAGGGCCGGGCAAGACCGGUUCCAGCCGCCGCGGUAACACCGGCGGCUCGAGUGGUAACCGUUAUUAUUGGGUCUAAAGGGUCUGUAGCCGGCCGGAUAAGUCUCUUGAGAAAUCUGGCAGCUUAACUGUCAGGCUUUCAGGAGAUACUGUCUGGCUCGAGGCCGGGAGAGGUGAGAGGUACUUCAGGGGUAGGGGUGAAAUCUUGUAAUCCUUGAAGGACCACCAGUGGCGAAGGCGUCUAACCAGAACGGACCUGACGGCAAGGGACGAAAGCUAGGGGCACGAACC